rnacentral:rRNA from 1 species
CUUGGUCAUUUAGAGGAAGUAAAAGUCGUAACAAGGUUUCCGUAGGUGAACCUGCGGAAGGAUCAUUAUUGAGUAUUGAGAGUGUUCUUGUCUGGUCACCCGACUGGCAGCGCUCUUCUUCUCUCUACCCUUUAUUAUUUCUUAACCAGUUGCUUUGGCAGUUGUCGGUUGAUGGCUGUCAAGGGACCUUUUGAAACCCUUUGCAAUCUAAUAGUAGAUAAUUCUUAUGUCUGAUUUUUAAUUAAUAGUAUUUAAAACUUUCAACAAUGGAUCUCUCGGUUCUGGCAUCGAUGAAGAACGCAGCCAAAUGCGAUAAGUAAUGUGAAUUGCAGAGUUCCGUGAAUCAUCGAAUUUUUGAACGCAUAUUGCGCCUUGUGGUAAUCCACAAGGCAUGCCUGUCUGAGCGUCAUUACAUCAUUCAAGUAGAAGUUUUUUUACUUGGUCUUGGAAUUUGACUUGCCUUUGGUAAUGUCUGUUCUGUAAUGUAUGAUUGCAGUCUAUUGACACUUUUAGUUGUAGUAUAUACCAUCGACUUUAAAAGACUCUAGACCUGGUCACCUUUCACAUCAACCGCCCGGUUGAAAUCUUGUAAAGUUUGACCUCAGAUCAGGUAGGACUACCCGCUGAACUUAAGCAUAUCAAUAAGCGGAGGA